rnacentral:ncRNA from 2 species
UCCGCCCAUUCAUUUUUUUCUCGUAUAUAUUCGGGAGAGGCCCGAAUGUUUCUACCCGGAAACCUUAAUUUCUGGACUACGAGCCUAAUAAACCGACAA